ensembl:snRNA U6 U6 spliceosomal RNA
GUUCUUGCUUCAGCAGCACAUACACUAAAAUUGAAACGAUAUAGAGAUUAACACGGCCCCCACACAAGGAUGACAUACAAAUUCAUGAAGCAUUCCAUAUUUAA